rnacentral:lncRNA from 1 species
CCGACAGACAUAAUAUCAAAGAAGAAGACCCCGUACUGUAGGUGGCCGCAAUAUGGAAUGUUUUUUUUCUUUUUUCUUAUUCAAUACCCCGUCCAGAUGGUGACGGUAAUGCACCAUUAACAUUGGAUGCCAACCGCCGUUAAACCCCAUCGAAGAAGAAGAAGUGGCGGCGGCAAUACACCAGUCGGUGUAGUCUGCCAUAAAACUUUGAAGGAGAAGAAGAAGAAGAGCACUCCUCAGGGUGUAUAGUUAUUUUCUUUUAAUGUUUUAUCAAGACAAGCAAGUUGAAAAUGACCUUUGCCUUUCCUCUACGAAUGAAUGUUUUUAUAGAUGAAGACCUAGACAAAAAUUUUGAAUAGCUACCUGAAUGGAAACUUAAUUGUUGAAUAAAUGAGACUGACGUCUUGAAAAGAUAGAACAUGUACCUGUUGCGCUUCUCUAUUGCCAUCAUUCUUGGGUUUGUGUGGUAUUUAUUUGACCGCGGACAAGUAGCGGCUCAAAUAGCUUUAUGUUUACUAUUUUGGCAAUCAACCCCAAAUAUUUUAAUAAAGACCAGACGGGAAAGCGGAACUCAGACAGACGAUGUGGCUGAAGAACAUUUAUUCCAGGAAACCACCAACCAUUUAGGUUGCGAUGUGACUGAUACAACAAGCACUAAAGCUGAAACAUCACAGGAGACACAGUUUCCCCAUGUGAAGAGAUCUCUUCAGCAAGUGUUUGACUGUGCCUACGCCCAGCUAGUCCUCCCCUGGUACAGCGUCCCCGAACCCUGUGACAGUCAGCUCCUGCACCAGGUGCUGUGGAAGGAGUUUGACCAAGUCAUCGAUCAAGUCAUCAGCAGAGGCAAAGACUUUGAUGUCUGUGCUGCAAGUGUGGGCUGCAUUCGCAUCCUGACCCAGCACCUCCAUAAUGCCAAACAGUCUCAUAGAAAACCAUUGUUCCGCUCUAGAGGAGAGGAGGUUGAAGUUCUCAGAGUGUUCUCUGAAGCACUGGUGCGAAACCUUUUACCCCAGUCCCUAUGGGGACUGGCAGUCAGCCACUGUGCCUUAAAUGAGAUAGUUGCCUUAAAAGUACUGGACCUGCUGGUGCGUUGGCUCUCAGACCCUGACAACCUCAACCAGCUGGUGGUGAGUCAGCUGGAUGGAGCGACCCGUAAAAGCUCUGUGGCGGAGCUGUGUGAGUCCCACUCUGACAGGGCCUCUCCAGCCUCCCUGGAGAGCCAGGCCAGUGGAGCGACUCAGGAAGAAACAGAGGAUGCGCAAACCAGUGACAGCAAGUCCAAAAAGAAAGCUAACAAAUUGAAGGAAGGCUGGUCUAAAUUCCUUGACAAGAUGAGAUUGAAGAAUGCUAAAAGGGAGAAGAUGAAGAAAAGGGAGCAGGCGCUGGUUGUCACGGCCAUGUCUAUCCAGGGUCGUCCAUCAAACAAAACUGAAGGGAGUAGCCGGGAGGGCUCCAUCCGGAACCAGCAGGACUCUGACAGUGAGGACAGUGAUCUGGAGAGCUACUGGAACAGUGUACACGAGGAUAUGAUGGAAUUCAAUCUGUCGUAUGAGCUGUGGCGGGUUGGCCACUGGGCUGUCAGCGUCCCUUGUGUGGAGAGGGAAAACGAGGAACUGUGUUUUACAGUUCACCUGGAGGAGAGGGACAACCCUGAAAACCUUCACUGGAACGUGAGGAAGACUCAAACAGACAUCAUCCACUUCCGCAACCUAUGGCAGGACUCUGCUACUUUACCCUCCCUAUCCAUGUUAGAAGAGAACACUGAGGUGAACAUCAGUGAGGAUUUUAAAGAAGCCAAAAAGUCCAUCAAGCACUUCUUACAGGAGCUGGUGUCUGAUGAUCUAGUGGGCCACACUCAGCCAGUGUUUCAGUUUCUGUGUCCUCUGGACAAGCUUCUGGUUGAAGAGGAUCAUGUGGGGGAAGUGUGGGGCCUCUUCAGUGGCCUGGCCUACUUCCUGACUCCGGGCCAAGAGGAAGAUGAGAUGCUGCUUUCAUUCCUGUUGAGAGAGCUUCUGCCAGGUGAGGAUGCCCUUAAUGUGAGUGCCAUAACCCAGCAGAAAGUGAACGUCAACUAA